rnacentral:rRNA from 1 species
UUGAUACGAUGAGUGCUAGUGUUAGGGGGUUUCCGCCCCUUAGUGCUGCAGCUAACGCAUUAAGCACUCCGCCUGGGGAGUACGACCGCAAGGUUGAAACUCAAAGGAAUUGACGGGGACCCGCACAAGCGGUGGAGCAUGUGGUUUAAUUCGAAGCAACGCGAAGAACCUUACCAAAUCUUGACAUCCUUUGACAACUCUAGAGAUAGAGCCUUCCCCUUCGGGGGACAAAGUGACAGGUGGUGCAUGGUUGUCGUCAGCUCGUGUCGUGAGAUGUUGGGUUAAGUCCCGCAACGAGCGCAACCCUUAAGCUUAGUUGCCAUCAUUAAGUUGGGCACUCUAAGUUGACUGCCGGUGACAAACCGGAGGAAGGUGGGGAUGACGUCAAAUCAUCAUGCCCCUUAUGAUUUGGGCUACACACGUGCUACAAUGGACAAUACAAAGGGCAGCGAAACCGCGAGGUCAAGCAAAUCCCAUAAAGUUGUUCUCAGUUCGGAUUGUAGUCUGCAACUCGACUACAUGAAGCUGGAAUCGCUAGUAAUCGUAGAUCAGCAUGCUACGGUGAAUACGUUCCCGGGUCUUGUACACACCGCCCGUCACACCACGAGAGUUUGUAACACCCGAAGCCGGUGGAGUAACCUUUUAGGAGCUAGCCGUCGAAGGUGGGACAAAUGAUUGGGGUGAAGUCGUAACAGGAGAAACACCGCGUAACCCUGUUUUCCCCCUUGCGUCCCAUGCGGUAUCAGCUACCGUUUCCCGUACCUAUCCCCCGCCCACUGGGUACCUUCCGAUACAUUACUCAUCCGUCUCGCCGCUCGCCACCAGACCGAAUUCUCGUGCUGCCUGUUCGACUUUUCUUCUGGUGUGCGGCCCGCUAGCGGCGAUCAACGACGGGUUUCAAAAAAAAAAAAAAAAACCCCAUCCUCCCGGCUUUUACCCCCAAUAUUUCAGAAAAACAUGUGGCCCCCCCAAUUUUAACCCGGCUUGCUGGGCAUUAUUUACCCGUGGGCUUUUAGAUUUGUCCUCGAAGAAAUGGCACAAUUGUUUACACAUAGUUUUUUUCCUCACAAAAAAAAAAUGUUUUAGAAAGGAAAAAAUUCUCUCACUGACCCGGGGUGUGUC